GAUGAACGCUGGCGGCGUGCCUAAUACAUGCAAGUCGAGCGAACAGAUGAGGAGCUUGCUCCUCUGACGUUAGCGGCGGACGGGUGAGUAACACGUGGAUAACCUACCUAUAAGUCUGGGAUAACUUCGGGAAACCGGAGCUAAUACCGGAUAAUAUAUUGAACCGCAUGGUUCAAUAGUGAAAGACGGUUUUGCUGUCACUUAUAGCUGGAUCCGCGCGGCAUUAGCUGGUUGGUAAGGUAACGGCUUACCAGGGCAACGAUGCGUAGCCGACCUGGGGGGGGGUACGGCCCCACUGAAACUGAGCAACGGCCCAGACUCCAAGGGAAGGCACAGGUAGGGACGCUGGCGAAAGGGGGGAAAGCCUGACGAAGCAACGCCGGGUGGGUGAGGAAGGGCUUCGGAUCGUAAAACGCUGUGAUGGGGGAAGAACGAAUGUGUAAGUAACGAUGCGGGUCUGGAGGGUACCGAAGAAGAAGGCCAGGGCUACUUCCGU
rnacentral:rRNA from 1 species